UUACCAAUGCAGUAUGUAACUGUUAUUACUAUUAGGAGCAACACUAAUGUUGUUAUAAACAACUUUGAUAUACUACGAAUCCACAAAACAAAAGAACAGUUUUGAAGUGACGUUAAGGUUGAUUCAUUGAAAAGGAAACCUCAUAGCAAUGCCUGGAGAACUUAAUGUCAGUUAUAACGAAUAUAUCGGGAUGAAUGGAAGCGGAAA